GCUCGGUUCAGAACAGGCCGGGCUGGUCGAGUGGGUUGUGUGGGGCAAGAAUCAGGAAGAAGGAGGUUGCUCUUCGUAAUCCGGCUUGUUUAUCCAACAAACAACAAAACAGGGCAGGAUUGUUCCGAGAUGCCGGAAGGCGGCCUUGAGAAAGCCCGCACUGGACAGAGAGGUCUGCUCAAGAAUGCACAGGGCCUGGGAAAGGCAGAGAGGGCUGGAAGCUGGUGUGAGAACGCAGGGAAGGGCCCGUGCUGCGGCGCUGGCUCCAGAGCGUCGAUUGUGGGCAUUUCUUCCCAGCUCUGUGGUCCAUGAGGUCACUACUCCAGGGCCCCUGCUGUCCACGUCCAUCCUCGUGUUCAUACCAACUCGUAUGUUUGCCACAUGCGUGUGACACGUGUGUGACGCGUGUGCCACUGUACAGGACCCGGAGCGCUAUUUCCAGAGGAAAACCGGUGACUUUUAACUAGAAGCCGACUUUCGACAGCAGGAGCGUGCCAUGUGCACGCGAAGAGCAGGUCCAGCUGAACAUGGUCUUCCCAGGUGAUGACAAGCAAAAGGGUGCAGUCACUCGGGAAGCCGGCCGGCCACUGUCCACUGUCACAGCAGCCAGGCAAGUGUGGUACUCAGAGCCCCGCAUGCAAACCUCGGGAUACGACGCAGGAUUUUUAAAGGCUGGAUCUGAAAGCCACUAGAUCAUGGGAUUCUAAAAACGUCUGUUCUAAAUUGUCAGCACAAUGCUCAAGGCCAACUGCUCCGUGCCAGGAAAGGGAUCCCCGGAGCACAUGGGCAGGUGCCAGAAGGGCUGAUGAAAUGCUGCAGUUUCGGGCAGUGCUUCCAGGAAACCAGUCCCAUGAGAUUGCUCCCUGUAGCGAGAUGGGCGAUGCCUGCACAAGGCCUGGGGACACUGUCCACAUCCACUGAGGAUGUGACUGGGUCCCUGGAGUGGGAAACAGCAGACCUGCCCAUCGCUGAGACCGUGUCAAACUAAGGCCCAGAGCUCUGGCCUCGUCCUUUUAGGGACAGAGAGUUGUGACUUGGUCUGGGAAGAGAAGCAGGUGGCAAGGUGGGGAGUGACAUCCCUCCCUAGAGAGGGGAAGCCCCACCCCUCCAGCCUCUGGUCCAACAGGCAGCAGUACCAGUCCUCUGAGCCGGCUGCCUCUUCUCACAUCUCUCUCCAGAGUGCGCUUGCCAGCGAAUAAAGGUUUAGAGUAAUCAGGCCCCAAAUAUGGCUUGUGAUUGAUUUACACUAAAAAAUUAUUGUCUGAAAUUCA